UACCUGCAGCCCAAGUGGUGGCCGUUAUUAUUGGGCCUAAAGCGUCCGUAGCCGGUUUGGUAGAUGCCUUUGUAAAUCGAACGGCUCAACCGUUCGAAUUGAGGGUAGACCGCCAGACUCGGGAUCGGGAGAGGUGCGAGGUACUCGGGGGGUAGAGGUGAAAUUCUGUAAUCCUCCGGGGACCACCGGUGGCGAAGGCGUCGCACUUGAACGACUCCGACGGUGAGGGACGAAGCCCUGGGGCGCAAACCGG
rnacentral:rRNA from 2 species